rnacentral:rRNA from 1 species
UACAGAGGUCUCAAGCGUUGUUCGGAUUCAUUGGGCGUAAAGGGUGCGUAGGCGGCGAGGUAAGUCGGAUGUGAAAUCCCGGGGCUCAACCCUGGAACUGCAUUCGAUACUGCCUUGCUCGAGGACUCGAGAGGAGACUGGAAUUCAUGGUGUAGCAGUGAAAUGCGUAGAGAUCAUGAGGAAGACCAGUGGCGAAGGCGGGUCUCUGGACAGUUCCUGACACUGAGGCACGAAGGCCAGGGGAGCAAACGGG